rnacentral:rRNA from 1 species
UUGAGUUUGAUCCUGGCUCAGAACGAACGCUGGCGGCAGGCUUAACACAUGCAAGUCGAGCGCCCCGCAAGGGGAGCGGCAGACGGGUGAGUAACGCGUGGGAAUCUACCUUUUGCUACGGAAUAACGCAGGGAAACUUGUGCUAAUACCGUAUGUGUCCUUCGGGAGAAAGAUUUAUCGGCAAGAGAUGAGCCCGCGUUGGAUUAGCUAGUUGGUGGGGUAAAGGCCUACCAAGGCGACGAUCCAUAGCUGGUCUGAGAGGAUGAUCAGCCCACAUUGGGACUGAGACACGGCCCAAACUCCUACGGGAGGCAGCAGUGGGGAAUAUUGGACAAUGGGCGCAAGCCUGAUCCAGCCAUGCCGCGUGAGUGAUGAAGGCCCUAGGGUUGUAAAGCUCUUUCACCGGAGAAGAUAAUGGNGGUUCCGGAGAAAAGCAGGCCCNCAANAA